AUGGACAGAUGCGAGCGACUCCUGACUGCAGUCCCAUGUCUGAUCAGGGUGCCUACUGAGGAGGUGAAGCAGAGGACUCAGGCCUUGCUGUCCUCCAACACCUACCAGGUGCUGCUGGCCACCCUCAGAGAAGAGGUUAGUCUACACCACGACCCAUCAACGCCAGCACAUUUCUUUUUCCAUUCUCUCCAUGUGUUCCAUGCAUGUGUGUGUGUAUCCAGACAGUGUUUGUGGGUGUGCGCGUGUGUCCUAAGUAGAUAUAACACCUAUCUUGUCUCUGUACAGAGGCUUGUCCAGGGGCUACGGGAGUGCGGUACACAGAGAGUCUGUUUUCUGGCAGUAUACCUCGAGUCACGUCCAUCAAUCUGGGAGGAUGUAUCUUCCUGUGAGCCUAUGAGAAGGUCCGACUCACUCUGAUAUAAAGGCCCUGUCUUUGGCCUGGGGAGAGAAGAGAGGAGGGCAGAUGGGAGAGUAGAGGGUUGUCCCUGGAGGGCCCUGUGCUGUGUUGUCCCAGCCUGAACCGGCCCUCGUCUUGCAGGCCCGGGACCCGAGGAGGAACACCUGGUGCCUGUGGCGAGUCAUCCCUGAUCGCAUUACCCCGAGGUCUGCAUUCCUGCUCAUCAGUGCACUGCAGAUUGAGUUUAACUGCCUGAAUUCCAGUUAUUUAACAACACGGAUCGCUUUCAAAAGAAACGUACACCUCCGAGCCAGAGUAGCUACACUGUAUGACCACGUGUGAGUGGAAAUGGUACUAAAAGCCAUCUUUUUAUACUACGAACUUUAUUGUGAUUAUUUUUGUUCCUUGUGACCUCUUUCUCCAGUUCUCCCAAUGGUGAAGUUUAUUGUCUAAAGCUGGGUAAUUAAAGGUAAAAUGCAGCCAUUUUUAUCUCAAUAUCAAAUCAUUUCUCUCAAUAUUAAGUACCUUACUGUGAUUGUUUUCAAUUAAAAUGGUCAAAAAGAAACAAAAUUAGCUUUGUAGCAAAGAGCAAUUUCUCAAGCAAGAAUUUAUCUAGGACUGUCUGGGAGUGGUCUGGGUGGGAGGGAAAAACGGAAAACUAGCUGUUAUUAGCCCGAGAAGUCUACUAACUAAUUUACCGCCUGGUGACAACACCAGGCAGUCCAAAACUUCAUCCGACCACUACAGGCUGAAAUUGUAGGUGGUCUUUUCAAACAAUUUCACAGUAUUAUUCCAACCUCGUAGUGUGGAAAUGUAUAUAGAAAUCAUGUUUUUAAAUGGUAGAAUAAUGGCGACCUCACCAUCCAAGGUCCUCUCUGUUAUUCAGUAUGGCGAUACGGUGAAAAGCCACCAGGGAGCCAUUCACCCCAGAAAUAGC
rnacentral:lncRNA from 13 species